rnacentral:misc_RNA from 1 species
GGAAGUAAAAGUCGCAACAAGGUCUCCGUUGGUGAACCAGCGGAGGGAUCAUUACUGGAAUCGCAAGAUCCCACAACCCUGUGAACCUACCGAAACGUUGCCUCGGCGGGUGCCCGGCCUCUGCGCCGGGCGCUGCGCCCGCCGGCGGCCCCCUACUCUGUCUCUGCAGCGUGGCAUCUCAGAGUCCCAGAAAACAAGUCAAAACUUUCAACAGCGGAUCUCUUGGCUCUA